rnacentral:lncRNA from 1 species
CCAUUCCUUUGUCCCUUCCAUCAAAGCCAGACAGGACAUAGGAUUUCAGAUCCCUCUCAGGUUAAUCUUCGGUUGUCCCCACCCUGCAGGCUCAGCGGACAGCUGCUAGAGGUGGUAGAGCAGGUCGGCUCCCGGGACUCUCCGGAUAAUCACAACGUGACAUAUUCAGUUCUUCCCGAGCUGUCUGACUCCUACCGGCCUUACAGGAGCGCCGCCAUCUUCUCACCUGAGGACCUGGAAGUCUGUUCCUCUCUAGAAGUGGCCAAAAAUCAAAUCUCUCAUAAGGAGGAAGAAGACCAAGACCCGAUAGGCCCCAGGCUCACCGCAGAGCUGCCAGAGGUGGAAGAGGAUACCCCAUGUGACUCUCUGGAUGAAUGCUAUUUGACUUAUUUGGCCCUUCCUGACCUGUCUGACUCCCUCGGGACUUGUAGCAAGGCUGACAUCACCUCAUUCGAAGAUCUGGACAUCUGUUCUGCUCUGGAAGUAGCUAGUGAGUCCUCCAUUGUCAAGGUGAUAAAGCUCCAACUGGACUCCCAAGCUGACCCCCUAUUUUUGGGAUCCCAACCUCUGGUUGUGCAGAAAUGUGUCAUCGCUCUGUAGAAGCCCAGUAGACAUAAGGAUCUGAGUCAGGCUCUAGGAUACACUUUUUAGCACAGACCUCAGGUGAGUCAGGCACCUGCCCUUUGUUCCUCAUCUCAGGCCAUGCUUAUGGCUUCUGACAGAAGUUAGGACAUUCGAUUCAAGGCAGAUGUGACAGCUAACACUCACUUGUGCUCCACAUGCAGAGUUCUCUGUCUUUGUUCCUGAUUUCAAUUAAAUAUCUCUCUUCAUCUGCAAUGUUCUCAUUUUCAUAGCUGAAUAUUGUCUCUUGAAUUUUUGUACCUGUCCAAAGAUGUUGGCAGCCUUACCUACAUCUUUCGAUUUGUUGUUUCCCUGCCUGAUUGCUCUGACUCACAGCGUCUGUGUCCUCUAUGUUGGCUGUCUACACUGAGUUGUCAUCAGAGUAUCAGGACAUCAGCACCUCUACCAUCAGCUUGCUGCAGGUUUCCUUGAAGCACAGCUGAUUCUGGCCUUUGCCCCUCCCAUGCAUGGCUCAUAUGUCUGUAAGCACAAAGAAUUGUACACAAAAGCUUUCUUUUGACAUGAGGGUUUGCAGAUUCCAUCCAUCAGUCUGGUCUCUGUGUCUAAAUUCCCUUAAACCAUUUAUCUCAUGGCAUAAGGUAAUGAGAGAAGGUUGCACUAAGUUUUUAGAAUGUAGGUAAGCUGUUCCCCAGAAUCUGUGGCAAAACACACGUUUCACGCUGUACACAGACUCUUGAGAUGUGGCUCUACCACAGCAGGGAGCUCAUGCCCAAUGGCUCAGGAAAGCAGACCAAGGCACAUUCCCAAGACACUACCUGAGGCCUCCUGGAUGGUUACUCUCCCAAUAUCCUGC